ensembl:lncRNA
CAAGAAGAGCAGGGGAACCCAGAGGGCUCUUGGAGGGAAGGUCAGAAGCACCAGAAUUGUUUUGACCCAGUGACUUUGAAAUCAAAUAAAAAGGAAUGGCACACACUGUGAAGUGCAGCAUCAAAAUCACAUAGAAUGAGGCUUCGAAAGGCCACCGGACUUUUUGGUGGAGGUUAUGGUGACAUUUGGAGAAAAUUUUCCAUAGAGUUGUUAGGAAAGCACGGGCGAUUUCAAAGAGAGGGAGAGGAGCAGCAAUGACGUGAUGAGGACUUGCGGCUAGCAUGUUCCAAGAGUUUCCUUGUGAAAAGGAAAAAAUCAGGACCUCUGGUACAGCAAGGUCAAAUCAAGGAUUUAAGAAGGCAAGAGCUUCACCUGUGUUUGCUGAGAGCGGAGGGGACUUUGGCGGCGUUGGAUAGACUUGGCACAGACACACAAGCAAAGCAGGGCCGCGACGAUGCCGGGCUGUGCGCACUAGAUGGCAGCAGCGGGGCCCUUUCGGCUCGGUUCGCGGUCCUAUAAGGCGCUGCUUGUUUAAGUACAUCGCAUUUAGUUGAAGCUGCAGGGGAGUGAGGGAGAGGAGGAGAGGAAGGAGGAAAGCGGGAGAGCUCGAGGGACGAGGGGGCUCGGUGUGUUUACACCAGGCACGGGCUACGAGCGUCCAUCCCGGCCCCUGGCUCGCGCUCCCGAAGAGGAGAACAAGGCUGUCCUGGGAUCCGGCCGUCGUGCGGCAGGAGGCUCGUCUGUCCGGGUUGCCGGAGCCGGGAGAGCCCAGAGGGAAACCGAGGGAAACGAGCGGCGCGUUUUACUAGAGAGAGCGCGAGCGGAAGCGGCGAGAGCAGGAGCGCGCGAGGGAGCGUCGAGCGCGGCGGAGACAUGAGGACCUACUGGCUGCACAGCGUCUGGGUGCUGGGCUUUUUCCUGUCCCUCUUCUCACUGCAAGUACUGCCUGUUCUGUUCUCUCACUGGCUACCUGGUGAGCAAGCUGGGAAAACAAUGAGAACAGUCCCAAUUACAUGAAGGCUCGAACAUGCAAAAUUGAAAUGACAAGGUAAAUCCACUUAAGUUGAUUUUAAAAUUUAGGAUAUUUUAUAUCCAUGAAAAUAGUGAAACUUGAUUUCUUCUUCUCUAAUCCUCUUAUAGCACCUGCUACUUUUGUCAUUCAUCAUUUUUCAUGGUACUUAAUCUUCUCUCCCUUGUGUUCUUACCUGUUCUAUGAGCAUAUAUCUUGUCUUUCUAAUUAGAUUACAAGCUCCCAUGAAAUAAUGAUUAUCUUUUCCUCAAAAGAGAAGUUCUUCUCACUGUUUAGCCUGUUUUUGACUCAUAUUGUCUUAUCCACCUGUGAUUGUUAUAGAAUAUAAAAUAGCAAAAUAAAAAUAUUAUGUUGAACAGUAUUACCACUGGCUUUCCAUAUCAAAAUUAAUUUCAAAUUUUCCAUUUGGGUAAAAUCUUCAUAUGCACCAUCUUCCCUUACCAAGUCUCAUACUUCAAAUACCAUAUGAAAAUAUAAAUAAAAAAAAUUGACAUCACCUCUUCACAAAUAGUAACUUCAGAUUACACUAAAGUUUCCAUCUUUGUGAGGUUUAUCCAUUUGAGAGGAGGGUGUGCAUUAGUUUGUUUUCACACUGCUGUAAAGAUACUACUUGAGCAUGGGUAAUUAUUAAACAAAAAGUUUAAUUGACUCACAGUUCUGCUUGGCUGGCCUUAGGAAACUUACAAUCAUGGCAGAAGGUGAAGGGGAAGCAGGUGUCUUCUUCACAAGGCAGAAGGAGAGAAGGAGCCCAGGGGAAGCUAACAGUUUUUAAACCAACAGAUCUCAUGAGAAUUCCCUCACUAUUAUGAGAAAAGCAUGGGAAAAACUGUUCCCAUGAUCUAGUCACCUCCCACCAGGUCUUUCCCUGGACAUAUGGGAAUUACAAUUUGAGAUAAGGUGUGGAUGAGGACACAGAGCCAAACGGUAUCUGGGUGUUACACUUUUGGGAAAUCUUUUUUACUCCCUUCUUCCACACUGGA